UAGAGAGGUCGCAACUGGCGUAGGUGGUUACCACCGGGGAGCGGCACAGAAUUGAUCGCGGGUCGUUCGCCUGGGCACGCGAU
rnacentral:ncRNA from 1 species